rnacentral:lncRNA from 1 species
CGCCAAGCCACCCUUCUCUCCCCCAGGUCGCCUUCAACUUUGGCUUAAUCACGACCAUCCUGGCGCCACUCCUGCCCGCUUCGCACUCCAGGAGUAGUUCCUGCGUGCUUAGUGAGCACUUUUUGCCUCAUUUCCAGUAAUGAGGUAAAAAUUCAUACUGUUAAAUGAUUAGCUUCCAAGAAGGGGUGACGGAAUCCUCAAGUAUCCUAGGACGGUGCGACAGGGGAGAGCCAUGUCUGGGGAAGGUGGUAGUGG